CUUGCGCUGCCUGUCUGUGGCUUCUGCCAUCUGUCAGCUUUUGCUUUUCUCGCUGCUGUUUCUGCCUCUGACUUUGACCCCUUGUUCUGGCGGAUGCUGCCUCCACUUCUCUCUGUAUCACCAUAUGAUCACAGCUUCUGGCUGUCUUUGCUCCCGUCUUCUUGUCUCUGGCCUUCUGCAUCCUUCCACCUUCAAACCCUUCCCUUCAAGCCGCCUUGCCUUCUCCCCAUGACUCAGAGACCCCACCACACCAGGCUCUCCGCUGAGUCCUCAGCCUUUCUCCACCUGUGUGCCCGUGGGGAAGGCCUGCAGACUGGGAACAGCUAGAAAGGGCCGAGGAGGAAAGGAAGGGAAGCUAGGUUAAGAAGAGUGGGAGCAGGUGGUGGGCUUACCCUGGCUGGGCCUAGGCCCAGCGGGAGACGGGAGGAAUACAUAUGUGGCGCCCCAACAUAUGGAGCUGCAGUUUAGCAGAUGCUACGUGGCAUACAGAUUUCCGGAAAAUUCUUGCUGCUGUAUUGAGAAUAGAUUGAGAAAACAAGGGCAGAAGCAGGGAGACCAGUCAGGAGCUGAUUGCAGUAUCAGGCUGGUCUGGAACUCCUGGGCUGAAGCUAUCCUCUUGCCUUGGCCUCCCUAAAUGUUGGAAUUACAGACAUGGGCCACUACACCUGGCGAUCUGUGUCUUAUACGAUCUGGACCUGCAUGUCAUACAGCCUCAACGCCAUGUGUCCAGCUUGGCGUGCUGUGUCGGGGGCAGGUAGGGCUGCAGGAAGAACUCCAGCUCGCUCAGCUGCUUCGAGAAGAGAAGCCCGUAUGCAGGCAGCCAGCCCCUGCCUCUACCUCCCACGGUUCACAGGCAGCCAUCACCCAGGUCUGGGCCCUAGAGACGGCGGAGUGGUGGUGGUGAGGGCCUCCGCAGCCCAAG
rnacentral:sRNA from 1 species